UACAGAGGUCUCAAGCGUUGUUCGGAAUCACUGGGCGUAAAGGGUGCGUAGGUGGCGUGGUAAGUCAGAUGUGAAAGCCCGGGGCUCAACCUCGGAAUUGCAUCCGAUACUCACUGCUAGAGUACUGAAGAGGUGACUAGAAUUCUCGGUGUAGCAGUGAAAUGCGUAGAUAUCGAGAGGAAUACCAACGGCGAAGGCAGGUCACUGGGCAGUUACUGACACUGAGGCACGAAGGCCAGGGGAGCAAACGGGG
rnacentral:rRNA from 1 species